AACGAACGCCGGCGGCAGGCUUAACACAUGCAAGUCGAACGAUGAAGUCUAGCUUGCUAGAUGGAUUAGUGGCGCACGGGUGAGUAACACGUGGAAAUCUGCCCUUGGGUACGGAAUAGCUCCGGGAAACUGGAAAUAAUACCGUAUGAUGUCUUCGGACCAAAGAUUUAUCGCCCAAGGAUGAGCCCGCGUCUGAUUAGGUAGUUGGUGGGGUAAUGGCCUACCAAGCCGACGAUCAGUAGCUGGUCUGAGAGGAUGAUCAGCCACACUGGGACUGAGACACGGCCCAGACUCCUACGGGAGGCAGCAGUGGGGAAUCUGGGACAAUGGGGGAAACCCUGAUCCAGCCAUGCCGCGUGAGUGAAGAAGGCCUUAGGGUUGUAAAGCUCUUUUAAUCGGGAAGAUAAUGACGGUACCGAUAGAAUAAGCACCGGCUAACUUCGUGCCAGCCGCCGCGGUAA
rnacentral:rRNA from 1 species